rnacentral:rRNA from 1 species
GACGAACGCUGGCGGCGUGCUUAACACAUGCAAGUCGAACGGUGAUGGGUGGAGCUUGCUCUGCUCUGAUCAGUGGCGAACGGGUGAGUAACACGUGAGUAACCUGCCCCAGACUCUGGAAUAACCCCGGGAAACCGGUGCUAAUACCGGAUAUGACACAGAAUCGCAUGGUUUCUGUGUGGAAAGUUUUUCGGUUUGGGAUGGACUCGCGGCCUAUCAGCUUGUUGGUGAGGUAAUGGCUCACCAAGGCGACGACGGGUAGCCGGCCUGAGAGGGCGACCGGCCACACUGGGACUGAGACACGGCCCAGACUCCUACGGGAGGCAGCAGUGGGGAAUAGUGCACAAUGGGCGCAAGCCUGAUGCAGCGACGCCGCGUGAGGGAUGAAGGCCUUCGGGUUGUAAACCUCUUUCAGCUCUGAAGAAGCGAAAGUGACGGUAGGAGCAGAAGAAGCACCGGCUAACUACGUGCCAGCCGCCGCAGUAAUAC